GUGAUCUAUACAAAAAGUAAAGGGCAUGAUUUUGUUUACUUCAGCUUUUUUGUUUACUUCAUGCAAGUUGUUCCUCAUAAGUUAGUGCAGGGCUCACAAAGUUAAAUGAAUUGUUACAUGGUAGCUGCUCCAAAGUCUUACAGCUUUGUUCCUGCAGUUUGUUUUGCUUCUGUGGAGGUAGAGAAUGGCUGGAAUGACCACUGGGGAGUUACUUAUGCAUAUAUUCACAUGGCUGAUCUUGUAGAUCUGAUUUUAGUAUUUCUAACUGAACUUUUCUUGUGAGGUAGUUGUUUUAAACAACUUGUAUAAAUAAAGGUAUGACUCCCUGAACUGCGAAGUUGAGCAGCUUAUGAUAGAGGAAGACAUCAGGCAGCAGGAAGGAAGGAGGAAGGGUUGUAUUAGGGCCGUUGUAUAUGACUCAUAGAAAUGGCUACAGUAACUCCUGGUUGCUUGGAAGGUAUAUAACCCAGAAGAAAAGAUCUUGAAAUCAGAGAGUGCACAGCAACUUCUGAGAAGAGAUUAUAUAAAGUGGGCCAAAGGGAAAUGUGUACUUCUGCCUCCCAUCUCUCAUCCCCAGACUCCUGCACUCGCUUAAGCUGCUGGUGAAGGGCUGCAAGGGUGGGUUUAGUGAUGUCCUGAAAGAGCAGCUGCUGGAAGGCACUCAGAGCUCAUCUGUCAAAAUCCAGAAAUUUGUAGGGAAUAUUUGCGUGUUGUGACCUGUCU